rnacentral:miRNA from 1 species
AUCACCAUUACCAGGCAGUA